AACGUACGCUGGCGGCACGCCUAACACAUGCAAGUCGAACGAAGUAGCAAUACUUAGUGGCAGACGGGUGAGUAACAUGUAGGUAUCUGCCCUUUGGCCUGGAAUAACACGAGGAAACUUGUGCUAAUACCGGAUAAGUCUUUACGGAGAAAGCUUUAUGCACCAUUGGAUGAGCCUGCACUUGAUUAGUUUGUUGGUGGGGUAAUGGCCUACCAAGACUGUGAUCAAUAGCUGAUUUGAGAGGAUGAUCAGCCACAUUGGGACUGAGACACGGCCCAAACUCCUACGGGAGGCAGCAGUGGGGAAUCUUGCACAAUGGAGGAAACUCUGAUGCAGCGAUGCCGCGUGAGUGAAGAAGGCCCUUGGGUUGUAAAGCUCUUUCGUCGGGGAAGAAAAUGACUGUACCCGAAUAAGAAGGUCCGGCUAACUUCGUGCCAGCAGCCGCGGUAAUACGAAGGGACCUAGCGUAGUUCGGAAUUACUGGGCUUAAAGAGUUCGUAGGUGGUUGAAAAAGUUAGUGGUGAAAUCCCAGAGCUUAACUCUGGAACUGCCAUUAAAACUUUUCAGCUAGAGUAUGAUAGAGGAAAGCAGAAUUUCUAGUGUAGAGGUGAAAUUCGUAGAUAUUAGAAAGAAUACCAAUUGCGAAGGCAGCUUUCUGGAUCAUUACUGACACUGAGGAACGAAAGCAUGGGUAGCGAAGAGGAUUAGAUACCCUCGUAGUCCAUGCCGUAAACGAUGUGUGUUAGACGUUGGAAAUUUAUUUUCAGUGUCGCAGGGAAACCGAUAAACACACCGCCUGGGGAGUACGACCGCAAGGUUAAAACUCAAAUGAAUUGACGGGGACCCGCACAAGUAGUGGAGCAUGUGGUUUAAUUCGAAGAUACGCGCAGAACCUUACCAACACUUGACAUGUUCGUCGCGACUCUAAGAGAUUAGAGUUUUCGGUUCGGCCGGACGAAACACAGGUGCUGCAUGGCUGUCGUCAGCUCGUGUCGUGAGAUGUUGGGUUAAGUCCCGCAACGAGCGCAACCCUCACUUUUAGUUGCCAUCAUUAAGUUGGGCACUCUGAAAGAACUGCCAGUGAUAAGCUGGAGGAAGGUGGGGAUGACGUCAAGUCCUCAUGGCCCUUACGUGUUGGGCUACACACGUGCUACAAUGGUAUCUACAACAGGAAGCAAGACUGCGAAGUUAAGCAAAUCCCUAAAAGAUACCUCAGUUCGGAUUGCACUCUGCAACUCGAGUGCAUGAAGCUGAAAUUACUAGUAAUCGUGGAUCAGCGUGCCACGGUGAAUGCGUUCCCGGGUCU
rnacentral:rRNA from 1 species